rnacentral:lncRNA from 1 species
CUGGGCCAUGGUGCUAGCCGUGGUCUGGCUGCACGACCGGACCGUGGGGCAGCGCGAUGAGUGGGAGCUGCUGGAGUCCAAGGCUGUGGGUUGGGUGCGGGACCGAGCAGGGGCCCAGCUGAGCGAGUGCCUGGAAGCAGCCAAUGCCCUACUGGGCUGCAGAAUUGGCCCUGCUGUCUUCGGGCUUUGAGCCCCCCUGGGAUCCCCAUACCUGCUCCCCAAACUACCUUGGGCAUUCAACCGGGAGCCCCAAGAGCCAACAGAGGGUGCAGAGGUGGCUGCACUGACCUCGCCCUGCAUGAGCCAUCCAGUGUAAACCUAGUCCCAUCUCUGCGGAGUUCAGCUAUUGGACAGACAGACAGACCAACAGGAUCUUUGCUUGUCCAAAUGCGACCUCAUUUUGUCAUAAUGGCAGAUUUCUCUUCGCUAGACAAUCCUGAACGCGAACAGGAGCGCAGUGAUUCGCAUAAUUCUUCAUUUCCUCUCUGUCUAGGUCUGGACUAGAGCUGGUCAGACAUUUUCCAGCUGAACAGUGUUGUGUUAGCAAAUGUGAUUUCAUGGUGAAGGCUGAAAGGUGGAAACAGGCAGCAGAGGGAGGAAGCUUGUCUCAUGCUGCAUGUUGUGAAUCCGUCCCCAGUCACCAGCUGCUGAAUUCUCUACUACAGGAAGAAAUGCUUAAAACCUGACCAUCCAUCUUGACGGUUAAUGCUCAUGCUGUGUCCAUCCUGGGCAGCACGGGGCCCUUCUCAGGACAUCCUGGGACUCAAGCAAAUGGUGAAAAACAUCAGCUGGUUAAUUUCCUGGAAAGAAAGUGCUAUUUUUAUCAAGAAACUUCAGGAGCAUAAGGAAGAAGCAAACAGUUUUCCCACUUUAUGUUAACCAGCCCUGACCUGCUUUGAACAGCUUUCACCACAUGACUCUGUGCUGGGUCACGUCCCUAUUUCAGCCUUUCCGUGUCUGAGAAGGCAACUCAAUAAAUUCAAUUGACAGCACCUGGAGUCCA